rnacentral:lncRNA from 1 species
GGCUGUACCCGCGGCGUAUAGAAUUUCCCAGGCUAGGGGUUGAAUUGGAGCUACAGCUGCUGGCCUACACCACAGCCACAGCAACUUGGGAUCCAAGCUGUGUCUACCACCUAUAUACCACAGCUCAUGGCAAUGCUGCAUCCUUAAUCUACUGGUAGAGGCCAGGGACUGAACCCACAUCCUCAUGGAUCCUAGUUGCGUUCGUUAACUACUGAGCUAUGAAGGGAACUCCUUGCUCAAUGCAUUUUAAAGAAGUUUUCUUUUUAAUAGUUUUUCAAAAACCUUUCACACCUUUAGUCCAAUGGGGAUUUACUUUUGUAUGUGGUAUAUGGUAGAGGCACAUUUUUAUCUUUUCUUCAUGAAACAAACCAUUUUUCCAUUAUCUAUUAAAUAAUCCUUUCCCCCUAUAAUUUGUUAUACCACCUCCAUGCAACUCGAUCCUCAUGCACAUUCCUGCAUGUGCAUGUAUAUUGACUAUUCUGUUCCCUUGGUCUUUUGUCUGUCCCCUACCCAGAAUGUACUAUUUUAAAGUUUUGUUGGUGUGAUACCACAUUAAUAUUUGAUAGGUGAAUCUCUCCUCUUUCUCAAAUUAUCUUUGCUAGUUUUCGGAGGUUUAUUUAUAUAUGUUUUAACAUUCAUUUGUCAGAUUCCUGUAACAAAUCUUGCUAGGGUUUUUAUUGGAAUUUCACUAAAUUUAUAGAUAAUUGCGGGGAACUGAACAAUUUUACAAUGAUAAAUUGUCCCAACCAAUAACAUGAUAUAAAUAUCCAUUUAUCCAAGAUUUCUCCUCUUUCAUUUCUAAUUCUUUUUACUUUAUUUGAAUAUUUUAAACAAUAUAUGUACAUAGUAAAUCCAAGCAGUAAAAAGGCAUAUAGAGUGAACAUAAGUAUAGUAUGACCCCUGACCCCUGCCUCCCAUCUCCUCUUUCCAGAAAAAAGACUUUUUUUUGUGUGUGUGUGUGCUAUGGUAUGAAGCAGCUUGAUGUGUUAUCUCGGUUCCCAGAUCAGGAAUUGAACCUGGGCUACAGUGGUGAAAGCACCUAACCCCUUGACCACCAGGGAACUCCCAAAGCCAAUUUCUUAUUAGCAUAUCUGUAAUGGAAUGUUUAAGUGGGACUCUUCCUGUCCAAAUCUUAGCUGAGGGAAUUCUAUGUUUUAUUCUAAACAGACCACCAGGCAAAAAUCAGCAUGGAGACAAAUCUUGACCUCUUAUCCACACUAAGGAUAAAAAAGGUUGAGAGAGAUUUGCGAAGAUUGUUUUAGAGUUAGCUGUGCUGUGCAGUCAUCCAUAAAGGGUGGACAAUUCUUAAGGUCAAGAGAGAGUGAUUUCAGUGGGAACUGUCAAGAAAGCCUAGUAUGUUGGCCUAUAAUCAAGGAGACACAGUAUAUUAACUGACUCACCUAGAAAAUCUGAAAAAUGAAGAGAUGGCUGCCUCUUGAGAAGGCAGAAACGAAGAGAGCGUUGGUGACAUUUUGUGGUCAGCCUGCAGUUCUUGAGUUUGGCCUAAAAGUUGCUUGAAUAUUUCCUGCAAAUCAGAUGAGGGCCACAGAGCCUAUAGUUAUUUAAAAUUCUGACCUAGAGGAGCAAUGGAACUGCAGAAAGAAAGAAGUCCCCAUGGAAUGGACCAUGGAAAAUCCUAUUUGCAGUGAAAAUGUCAGCCAGAGGGAGAUACAUUGUCUGAAUCAUAAUACGGUCAUUCAUUCCUAGUAGGGGUCUCUGAAGGACAAAAGUGCCUACAAUAUAGAACCAAGCAGUUGUAAACUCUUGCCAGGCCCAGGGAGUGAGAAGUCAUCUGAUUUAGUUAUCAGAUUUAAAUUUCUUUCUUUCUUUUUUUUUCACUGGCCACACCCAUGGCAUAUGGAAGUUCCUGGGAUUGAAUCUGAGCUACAGCUUCCACCUAUGCUGUAGCUUCAGUCACACCAGAUUCUUUAACCCACUCUGCCAGACUGGAGAAUCAAACCCCCCUCCUCAGUGUCCCGAGCCACUGCAGUCAGAUUUUUAACCUACUGUGCCACAGCGGGAACUCCAGAUUUAAAUUUAUUUUAAUCAAACAUAUGAACAUGGUUCUGUUCGAAAUUAAAUGUUCUACAAUAGUCAUAUUGAGGUCAUUUUAUGGUGGUGUGGAAUUUGGGAACUAAAGCCCACCAGGUCUAACCAGGGUUCUUUCUUCCAUGUUUUAAGUAAAAAAAUUCUGAGGCUUUAGCUGAGAAUCUCAAUUUACUACUGACCGGGUAUCAACUGUCUUUUGCAGGCCUUCUCCAUGUGGAGUCAGAGGAGACCCUCCUACACCAGAGGAAAGAUCUCAGGCUUUUUAAGUUAUUUUCCAUCUUGCCACCUACAAAUCUGAAAUCUAAAGUAAUUGGAUCUCCUUUUAAUCAACAACAAAGGAUGCCUGUACUACAGCUGUUUUUCAUGCAUAUCAUUUUUGAAAAAUUUUUAUUGUUGUGGUGGUGAUGGUAUUUUUUUAAGAGGGAAAAUUAUAAAAAUGACACCGAUUAAGGGUAGAAAAUUUCAAAAUAGGCAGCACUAAAAAGAAGUACAUUGAAUUUCAACAUUUACUAUCUACAGCCCAAAAUUAAAUACUUUUUUGUUGUUGUUGUUGUAUCUGUGGCAUGCAGAAGUUCCCAAGCCAGGGAUGGAACCCACGCCACAGCUUUAAUCAGAGCCACAGCAGUAAUAACACCAUAUCCUUAACCCAUUGAGCCACAAGGGAACUCCCAAAGUUAAGUACUUUUAAUGCUGUUUUGUAUGUUCUUCCAACCUCUUUUCAUCUGUGUACCUUUUUUCCCCCAUAAUUGAAGUGAUAAUGUAUGUACUCAUUUGUAUUAUUUAUAAUGGCUAGGUAAUAGUCUAUUACAUAAAAAUACUACACAUUAAUUAUAACUUUUGGUCAUUCAGGUUGUUUUUAGUUUUUAUUAUCUCACAAAGUUGAGGUGACCAUGUAUGUGCUCAAAUGUUUUUAUGUAUUUUGGAUUAUGCCCUUAGUCAAGUUCCCUUAAAGCAGAAUUAUGGAGGAAAAAGUCCUUGUUGCAUAUUGAUAUUUAGGCAGAUAUGCUCUUUUCCUUCCCUCUUCCCUUCUUCCUGUUUAUCACUCAGCAAUAUCCACAAUAGUAGUUGCUUUUCUUCUGUGCUUUAUUUUAUACCCUUCAGGAUCUUGGAUUUUUCUCUAGUUUGUCUUUCAGUUGCAAGGUGCUUUGCACAAAACUGACAGCCAACACAAUGGGUCCCCUGUGUAUUUCAACAUUAGUCCCAACUAGAGAAAGAAAGAAAAGCUCAAGGUUCACAUUUUAUCUGUCUUGCUUCCUAAACACUUCUCUUUCCAACUACCUUUAACAACAGAGAUACAAAUCUUAUUUCAUCUUAUUUAACCCUCAUAACAAUUACAUUAAAUCUGUCUUAUCUUUGUUUUAUAGCUGCAGAAAUUGAGGCACAGAGUUUAAAUAACUUGUCAAAGGUCAUAUAUUAAAUAGUAGAUUCAAGAUUUCAAUCCAGGUUUAUCUAACUUCAAAAUUCUUUCUAUGAUACCACUGUUCCUUCAUAGUUAAAAGAAAACUGAGCAAAUGUCCAGUGGAUUAAAUUCUCAAAUAAUUAUAUAGGGCAGGAAAACUUUUAGAUUCUGUGUCUAGGGCCUGUAAUUAAACACAUAGGUGGGAAGACAUACAAAUUUUGUUUGAUGUUAAUUUUUUUUUAAUUUUAUUACCACACCUAUGGCAUAUUGAAGUUCUUGGGCGAGGGACUGAAUCCAAGCCACAGCUGCAAUUUACGUGGCAGAUGCAGCAAUGCCAGAUUGUUUAACCCACUGCUCCUGGCUGGGGAUCACACCCACACCUUCAUAGCAACCCAAACUGCUUCAGUCAGACUCUUAACCCCCGGGGCCUCAGCAGGAAUUCCUUGAUGUUAAUAUUUAACUUUUUCACGUGCAUGGAGGCCUUCAUAUAUAAUGAGUAUCCAAAGAAGCAGUUAAAUGUAGGGGGUUAUAUACCAUCUUAACAAAGGGUGAUAAGUUAUGGAGAAAUAAUUAGACAAAGUAAAAGGGGCUCGUGUGGGUGGUUAACUAUGGGAAAGUAAAUAUAUGGGGCACAGUAAUGGAAGACAGGGUUAUUUAGUGAGGCUUCAUUUAUGAAGACUCAUCUUGGUACCAUCUCCAUCUCCUGUGAUAAACAUUGUUUUUCCCUUCCUGGUACAAGAGAGGGUGACACCUGCACAAAGGGAAGGUUGUGUUCUGCUUUCAGGCAGGAGUGGGGAGAGCAGAGAGUUUUUCUUGCACCUGCUGUUUCUCAGUUGCUUUUAGCUCAAAACAAUCGUUACACCAAAGUGGCAUAUUUUUGGGUGGCAUAUUCUGAUCCUCUUCACUUUACCUCUGCCACUUGAUGUGAUUGGCUAAAUAACUAAAAUCUAGCUUUCCUUAAUUCAUUGUUUCCCUCUAUUAUAUUUUACUCAUGUUCAGGCCACUUAUUCUUUCAGUUUUUCCUUUAGCCUUGGCUCCACACUGUACAAUUGAAAUUUUCAUUAGGUAGCACAAAAUGAUGUUCUAAAAAGAUUGCUGUUAAUUAAUAAAAGCAUUGCUGAUUUUGGUGCUGUUUUUAAAUUAAGAAAAUUGAACAAAAUCGCAUUUGUAUUCUGUUUUAACAAUAAAUGUAGUCUGAAUCAAAAGAACUUAUGAAUAUUUCCAAAACUGAUAAUAUAUUCUUACCUUUUUUCUCUUCCUCAGUAGCAUUGAAUGCACAUGUAUUAUAAAUUUCUCAGGCUAAUGUCACCCUGAUUUACUGAGAUUGUUGCUCUUGGAAAUCAACAAAGUAAUCAGAAUUUCCUAAGACCAUGAAAACUAAUCAUGAUCACCAAUGAGACAACAGAACACUGCACGGUCAUGUAAACUCGUGGAGAAAUAUAUACCAUUCAAAGUAGAGAAUUAAAAGAAAGGCAACACUAGAGUUCCUGAUAUGGCACAUCAGGAUUGGCCAGCAUCUUGGGGGAGCUGUGAUGCAGGUUCAAUCCCAGCACAGUGGCUUAAGGAUCUGGUGUUGCAGCAGGUGUGGCUUAGGUCACGACUGUGGGUGGGAUCUGAUCCCUGGCCUGGGAACUCCACAUGCUGUGGGGCAGCCAAGAAAGGAAAAAAAAAAA